UUAGCUCAGUUGGUAGAGCAGUUGGCUUUUAACCAAUUUGUCGAAGGUUCAAAUCCUUCA
rnacentral:tRNA from 1 species